rnacentral:rRNA from 1 species
GACGAACGCUGGCGGCGUGCUUAACACAUGCAAGUCGAACGGUAAGGCCCUUCGGGGUACACGAGUGGCGAACGGGUGAGUAACACGUGGGUGAUCUGCCCUGCACUUCGGGAUAAGCCUGGGAAACUGGGUCUAAUACCGGAUAGGACUCCUGGCUUCAUGGUUGGGGGUGGAAAGCUUUUGCGGUGUGGGAUGGGCCCGCGGUCUAUCAGCUUGUUGGUGGGGUAAUGGCCUACCAAGGCGACGACGGGUAGCCGGCCUGAGAGGGUGACCGGUCACACGGGGACUGAGAUACGGCCCAGACUCCUACGGGAGGCAGCAGUGGGGAAUAUUGCACAAUGGGCGCAAGCCUGAUGCAGCGACGCCGCGUGAGGGAUGACGGCCUUCGGGUUGUAAACCUCUUUCAGCUAUGACGAAGCGCAAGUGACGGUAGUAGCAGAAGAAGGACCGGCCAACUACGUGCCAGCCGCCGCAGUAA